GAUGAACGCUGGCGGCGUGCCUAAUACAUGCCAGUCGAGCGAACGGACGAGAAGCUUGCUUUUCUGAUGUUAGCGGCGGACGGGUGAGUAACACGUGGAUAACCUACCUAUAAGACUGGGAUAACUUCGGGAAACCGGAGCUAAUACCGGAUAAUAUUUUGAACCGCAUGGUUCAAAAGUGAAAGACGGUCUUGCUGUCACUUAUAGAUGGAUCCGCGCUGCAUUAGCUAGUUGGUAAGGUAACGGCUUACCAAGGCAACGAUGCAUAGCCGACCUGAGAGGGUGAUCGGCCGCACUGGAACUGAGACACGGUCCAGACUCCUACGGGAGGCAGCAGUAGGGAAUCUUCCGCAAUGGGCGAAAGCCUGACGGAGCAACGCCGCGUGAGUGAUGAAGGUCUUCGGAUCGUAAAACUCUGUUAUUAGGGAAGAACAUAUGUGUAAGUAACUGUGCACAUCUUGACGGUACCUAAUCAGAAAGCCACGGCUAACUACGUG
rnacentral:rRNA from 1 species